UACGUAGGGGGCGAGCGUUGUCCGGAGUUACUGGGCGUAAAGGGCGCGUAGGCGGUUUGGCGCGUGUGCGGUGCCAGCUCCUUGCUUAACGAGGAGAGUGCCGGGCAAACGGCCAGACUGGAGGGCCUUAGAGGGACAUAGAAUUCCGGGUGGAGUGGUGAAAUGCGUAGAGAUCCGGAGGAAUACCAAUGGCGUAGGCAGUGUCCUGGGAGGCACCUGACGCUGAGGAGCGAAAGCCAGGGGAGCGAACGGGAUUAGAUACCCCGGUAGUCCUGGCCGUAAACGAUGACCAUCAGGCGUGUGGGGUAUCGACCCCCUGCAUGCCGGAGCUAACGCACGAAAUGGUCCGCCUGGGGAGUACGGUCGCAAGAUUAAA
rnacentral:rRNA from 1 species